UACGGAGGAUGCGAGCGUUAUCCGGAUUUAUUGGGCGUAAAGGGAACGCAGGCGGUCUUUUAAGUCUGAUGUGAAAGCCUUCGGCUUAACCGGAGUAGUGCAUUGGAAACUGGGAGACUUGAGUGCAGAAGAGGAGAGUGGAACUCCAUGUGUAGCGGUGAGAUGCGUAGAUAUAUGGAAGAACACCAGUGGCGAAAGCGGCUCUCUGGUCUGUAACUGACGCUGAGGUUCGAAAGCGUGGGUAGCAAACAGG
rnacentral:rRNA from 1 species